ensembl:lncRNA
AAUUUUUUUACAUUCAUGUGUUAUGGAAAACCAGUGUAGCAUCUGGGAAAACUUUUAUAUUUUCAACACAUUAUAGAGAUUUAAAGGCUUAAGUUGAUUGAAGUUCUUUUUUUUUUUUUUUGGUACUGGGGUUCGAACUCGGCUCCUUGCACUUGGAAGGCAGGCAGUGGAACCAUUGAGCUAAAUCACCAGCCCUGAAGUUCUUUUCUAUGUCUCUUGAUGAAAUAUAUCAAGCAAGGAGAGGCAUAUGUUACCACCCUCCUGGCAAAACUAUCAACAGGAAGUGAAGGAGUGAUCCCAGAGACAGGCCUUUCCUUAUUUGUAGUCUGGUGAAGACGGAGCCUGGACACCUGCAAGACACUCACCCUGCACCUGCUCCCAAAUCUCUGCCAUUCUCCUGCCUUAUGGAGUUCCGAGCUAGAGGGGGAGAAGCUUUACACUGAACUGGAGUUCUCAUAUCAAGGCAGUGUGUCAAGAAUGUGCAUGCCAAGAGAAAGGAAGAUGGGGCAGCAGCUUUCUUCUUAAAGCCUCAAUGCGGCCGUCCCAGAGUAUCACUCCUGUGUUCUGUUGUUCAAAGGAAGUAUGUUCUGCCUCUACUCUUGACACUUGGGUCCUGGCCUGCUUUUGGAAUCAAAUUCAGAAGACUCCUUUAACUGAUACAUUUUUGGACUUCACAUAAAAGUGAAGGAGGAUCAAGAGAAUGUUUCAGUUCUGUUUGUAAUUCUCUGUUUAUAAGAACAUAAAGCAAUCAAUGUUUGCACCCCAUGCAAAUAUGGUUUCCAUUUUGUCCUUGAAAUAUGAGAAAAGUUGUGUUGCCAGCACAUAUUUAUUCCUGCCAAGCAUCUCCUUAUUUCUAGGAUGCACAGACAUCUUAAAGUUUUGUUUCCAGUUUUUUUUUCAAGUUUAGUCUCAUUCUAAAGUGAGGAACACCUGCUAAAUGACAACAUUUGCUACCAUGAUGAGAAUAUUAGUGAUGUGCCAACAGAAAUCGUGGAUAGACACCAAUUGCCACAAGUCUAUUAAGGAUAUCAAAUGCUGGCUUAUUUAUUGGAUUUAUAUUCCAAUAAAGUUUCUAACUCAUAUCUGAACUUUGAAUUGAUUACUGCCAAAAUAAUGCGCAAGGAUUUGGAGGCUGAGUGUUUAGAACUUGUUACAUCUAGUACUUAGUAGUUUAUAACCCUAUUGAACUACACAGCAAAAAAAAGAUGAUUUAUAAUUGAGACUGUGUAAGCUGAUUGUAGAUGGAUCACAUCAUCAUUUCCCAAUAAUUGGAAGCCUCAAGAGUGUACUUAUGACAAACACAAUGGCCUGAAGAAGCC